UACGAAGGGGGCUAGCGUUGUUCGGAAUUACUGGGCGUAAAGGGCGCGUAGGCGGCCGUGCAAGUCAGAUGUGAAAGCCCUGGGCUCAACCCAGGAGGUGCAUUUGAUACUGCAUGGCUAGAGUGUCGGAGAGGAUGGUGGAAUUCCCAGUGUAGAGGUGAAAUUCGUAGAUAUUGGGAAGAACACCGGUGGUGAAGGCGACCAUCUGGACGACAACUGACGCUGAGGCGCGAAAGCGUGGGGAGCAAACAGG
rnacentral:rRNA from 1 species